GCCUAGCCCUAAUGGAAGCUGCAUCCUUUGCUAGCUUUCUUUAAGCAAGGAAGAUAUAGCGGACAGCAGGUUCCGGA
rnacentral:sRNA from 1 species